rnacentral:lncRNA from 1 species
AAGAGAAGAUAGAAAAGAAAGGGAGAAACGGAAAGAAAGAAAGAGAAAGGAGGAAAGAGAAGAGGAAAGAGAAAGGAGGAAAGAGAAGAGGAAAGGGAAAGGGGGAAAGGAGGAAAGAGAAGAGGAAAGAGAGUCAGGCAGAGAAGAGGAAGGGAAGGAAGAAAUAGGGUGAGUGAGCAGAGAGAAAAUUCAGUGAGCCUUACAUAUUGUAAACUCUAAAGUUGUAGUUCUAUUAUUUUAUUUAGUGAAAAAGUUACUGCUGCUGCUCUCCGAGGACGUAGGCAUAGCCGAACCUCGUUAAAUGCUGUGUCUCAUCUACUUUACGAGCAGCUCUGAAUUAUCGCACAUAUCCCAGGUUAUUUUUAUAACAUAAUUGACUUAUUGAGAGAGCACUCCCAUUGAUCGUGCUUAGAGCUCCACUCACUUGAAAUCUUAUUGUUUUUUUUUUUUUUUAAUAGUAAAGAUGAACUUUCAUUAAUAAAGACCAAAAAGAGGUCAAAGAAGCACCGAGACUACACAACCAGUCAAACGGCAUUAACAAGAAAAAGAAACCAAAGCGACAAGAAAAGGUAAAACUAAAGAAAAGCUACAAGGGAAAGUAAAAUAAAAGAGGAAAACACAGCACAGCCAACGAACAACAUCACAUAUUUUUUUUACUUGGUAACUGGUUCAGGUUGUGGGCUUCGAGGAAAUUGAUCUUAUAAUAUUCAAGAGUAGGCAAGUGGAUUCCAACAAAAAAAGAGACAAGGCAAGUGGAUUCCAAACAAACAAAAAAAGAGUAGGCAAGUGGAGCAUCUGGAAUUUGAUCUGAAAAAUCCGCGAGCAAUCCUUAUCAAAAAGACUUUUAUGAAAUGAAAGUAGUAUUAUUAAUAAUAUUUUCAGUAUUAUUGGUUAUGAAUAAAAUAAUUAACAAAAUAAUAUUAUCCCCUAUUGCAAGUUGCAAGUGGUCCGAAUGGAAAGUAA